rnacentral:lncRNA from 1 species
GACUGUGAGGUCAGGCUUUUACCGUGUUUUCUCGCCUCUAUUCUCUCCUGCGAGCAAGGGCUGGUUUUAGCUCCUCUUGUUUCGCAAAGUUAGUGUUCAGACCGCCAGCUGACUCCUGGGAAGAAGCAUUAAUGUACCAUAGAAUGAUCACCAAGAACAACAGCAACAGUGGAGUGGAGUCAAUCUGCUACAGAGAAUGCUACAGAGGGCAGAGCUGGAGAAGUGACACAAGCCCUUUGGAAGAGCCCAGAAGAUCAUGUGUGGAUCCUAGAUACUGGAACAAGAAGCGGAAUUUCCUCCAGUAUUUUCAUAGCAACCUUCAGAUGAAAGUGUAGAACUCUCAGCUCCUCCUGCAUCAUGACUGCCUGGGGCUGCCAUGUUCCUGCCUUGAUGAUAAUGGACUGAACCUCUAAACCUGACUGGUUGUUCUAUUUCUGAGAUCUCUGAGACCCAGCCCACCAGGAACACACAAAUGUGGAACCGAGAUAGGCUGAGGACUUAUUAAACAGAAUUCUGCUGUUCCUAUCCCAGGGUUGGACCAAUGUGUAGAAAAUUGCUUAUGGGAUUCUUUGAAUGACUUUUUCAUUGCGGGAAAUAUUAAAAAUGAACCUGCCAACCUUCCACACUCCUGCUUCUUUCAAGCCACCAACUCAAGAGAUCUGUCUCUGCCUCCUACGUGCUGGAAUCAAAGAACAUAAAGGCGGACCACUGUUUGCCGGCAUUAAGUAUAUUCGCAAUGCUGAACCAUCAUCCAUUUCCAAGAAAAACACAACGUUCAAGUCUACUUUUUAAAAAGAAAGUUAAGAACCGCUAAGUCCUUAAGCACUAUCGAAAAUGAUCCUCACACAGGAACCAAACAGGAGGGCAGCCC